ensembl:lncRNA
AUACAAGCAACCUCUCUCUCACUUUUUCCCUCUCUCUCUCUCACACACAGUCUCAGACAUUUGACACACAACCUACAUUCUCACGUGCCCCCAGACACAUACACCCUUGAACACAUUCUGGCUGAUGACACGCUUGCUGCCUAUGUGCAAAAACACACACCAGCUCACGUAACACUCACACAUCCACACAUUCACACGCACUCAUACUUUCCCUCUCUGUCUCUCUCUCUCACACACACACACUCAGUCUCUCUCUCACCUGCACAACAUGCUUCUGGCAGAGCACCCGCAGCUGUACUAACCUGCCCGCCUUUGUUCCCAGGCCUGGCCUCAGCAGCAUUUUCCCAGGCCCAGGCUUCCUUUAGCUGCUGCUUCCCUGUUUCCCUCUGAGCCUGGUCACUGGGCCCUGACUCAACACCGGUGUGUACGUGUCAGGAGUCGUGCAGCGUCACAAGCCCUGCUGGAUGUGAACACGCUGUCCCGACAGUGUUGUUACCGGUUGUAAGACGCCUCUCCUACUGACUCCUCAUUCCUGCUGGCAACCUUUACUUCCAAAUAAGGAAAUGGAUGCUUAGAAAACUGAAAUGGGGACUUCCUUGGUGGUACAGUGAAUAGAAAUCUGCUUGCUAAUGCAGGGGACACAGAUUCGAUCUCUGGUCCGGGAAGAUCCCACAUCCUUGCAGCAACAAGAGCCUGUGUGCCCCAACUACUGAGCCUGUGCUCUAGAGCCUGCGCUCUGCAACAAGAGAAGCCACUGCAAUGAGAAGCCCGAGCAUGGCAAUGAGGAGUAGCCUCAGCUUACUGCAACUAGGGAAAGCCUCAGUGCAGCAGUGAAGACCCAGUGCAACUAACAAUAAAUAAAUAAAUUUAAAAAAAAAAGAAAAUUGAAAUGCUUUCCAAGGAGAUACUCCUCUGUGGUGCUGGGAACCAAACCCAAAUCCAUUGAUUCCAAACGCAUUUGCUCUCGUGGCUGUGACAGCGACUAUUAAGACUAUCCGAUGGAGUGCCUCCCCUGUGUUGCCUCGUGUGGAUUGUACAGACCGGACGGUUCUUGUUGAGUGAACACUGGGCUGAGUUUUGCUCCUUCAGCCGGGCCCUAGGCUCCCUGGUCUCACACCACAGGAUGGGGCACUGUGUCAUAGGCUGAUAUCCCCCAAUACCGAGCACUUCCAAGCUCCAAACUGGAACGGCCAACUGCCCACCAUGGAAGCGGCUUCUGUUCCUUUCACUGCAGCCAUCACCGGGCACGCCGCCCAGAACUCCCUUCCAGGAAGGCCUUUCUGCUCCAGUGGCAGGGAAUGCCAUCUGCCUCCAGCUGUUGGCUGUCAGCCCCUUCCAGGAUGGCCUCAGCUGGAGAGAACCUCCUUGUCCAAGUUCAUGUAGCUUCUUGAGGAGGCCUCGUCCAAUCACUGCUUAGAGCGGGAAUAUAAAGGCUCAGCCUUCUGGCCCUAUUUGGAACAGCUCUGAAAGGCCAUCCAUGUUCUGGGACUCCCAGAGGGGUGAGCUGAUGUGCCAUUUAUCUCUUGCUGCAUCACAAACCACCGCAGAACAGAAUAUGGCUUCAAACGACGACAUUCACUUUGCUGAUGCAUCUGGGCCAGGUUCCAGGUAGGGGAGUGGACAGAGGUCAUUCGUCUCUGCCCUACUCAGU